rnacentral:rRNA from 1 species
AUGCAGAGGGUGCAAGCGUUAAUCGGAUUUACUGGGCGUAAAGCGCGCGUAGGCGGCUAAUUAAGUCAAAUGUGAAAUCCCCGAGCUUAACUUGGGAAUUGCAUUCGAUACUGGCUGACUCGAGGACAGGAGGGGUGAGUGGAACUCCAGGUGGAACGGUGAAAUGUGUAGAUAUCAGGAGGAACACCGGUGGCGAAAGCGGCUCACUGGCCUGUCUCUGACGCUGAGGUGCGAAAGCUAGGGUAGCGAACGGGAUUAGAUACCCCAGUAGUCC